AUUGAACGCUGGCGGCAGGCUUAACACAUGCAAGUCGAGCGGAGAUGAGGUGCUUGCACCUUAUCUUAGCGGCGGACGGGUGAGUAAUGCUUAGGAAUCUGCCUAUUAGUGGGGGACAACAUUCCGAAAGGAAUGCUAAUACCGCAUACGCCCUACGGGGGAAAGCAGGGGAUCUUCGGACCUUGCGCUAAUAGAUGAGCCUAAGUCGGAUUAGCUAGUUGGUGGGGUAAAGGCCUACCAAGGCGACGAUCUGUAGCGGGUCUGAGAGGAUGAACCGCCACACUGGGACUGGGACACGGCCCAGACUCCUACGGGAGGCAGCAGUGGGGAAUAUUGGACAAUGGGCGGAAGCCUGAUCCAGCCAUGCCGCGUGUGUGAAGAAGGCCUUUUGGUUGUAAAGCACUUUAAGCGAGGAGGAGGCUACCUGGAUUAAUACUCUAGGAUAGUGGACGUUACUCGCAGAAUAAGCACCGGCUAACUCUGUGCCAGCAGCCGCCGUAAGAC
rnacentral:rRNA from 1 species